ACUCAAUAGAUACCCAGGUAGUCCACGCUGUAAACGAUGGGUACUAGGCUUUGUGGGAAUAGACCCCUGCAGAGCCGGAGCUAACGCAAUAAGUACCCCGCCUGGGAAGUACGGUCGCAAGACUAAAACUCAAAGGAAUUGACGGGGGCCCGCACAAGCGGUGGAUCAUGUGGUUUAAAUUCGAAGCAACGCGCAAAACCUUACCUGGGUUUGACAUCCCCGGACAUCCGUAGAAAUACGGCUUCUGUAGCAAUACAGCCGGGAGACAGGUGCUGCAUGGCUGUCGUCAGCUCGUGUGGUGACAUGUUGGGUUAAGUCCCGCAACGAGCGCAACCCUUGUCUUUAGUUGCCAGCAUUCAGUUGGGCACUCUAGAGAGACUGCCGUGGUUAACACGGAGGAAGGUGGGGAUGACGUCAAGUCCUCAUGGCCUUUAUAUCCAGGGCGACACACGUGAUACAAUGGAUGACACAAAGGGAAGCGAACCCGCGAGGGGAGCGAAUCUCAAAAAGUCAUUCUCAGUUCGGAUUGGAGUCUGC
rnacentral:rRNA from 1 species